AGAGGAACAACCUGGAGUGGCAAGGGAGAGAGAAUUACAUGCGUCUUACCCAUUGGACUAAAUCCAACCACCUGGUUUGAAGAAGACGUAUAUGACAUUUGGAAAUAUUAAACAAACAUUUCAUACCACUCUUAAGAUCCAGUUGUCCACCUCAUUCACCUCACCUCUUUUUAAGUAUAGGUGGACCCUGAAUGGAACAAAGAGCAGGAGGAGAAGAUUACAGUUAGGCCGCACUUUCAAGCUGGAAGUACAUCCACUAUCAGGUUA